AGAUGGGAGCAGCCUCAGUGAAGAACUGUUUGCUUUGAUCACAUGGCAACCAAGCAUGAGGGAAAGAGACCCCCAGAUAGGCUACAUGGUGAGGUCAUUGUCAUUAUGCGUGGAUUCAUGCUAGCCGUGCAAAUGCGCAAACGUUGUGAACCCUGAGACAUAACCACAGCAUUCUGGUACCACAUGCGUUAUUGUUCCUAAGAUAAAAUCUUUGGACUCCUGGCCUAGUUUACAAGGAACUGCAAAGAGUUCAUAGUUUCCAGAGGAAGAAGCCUGUGAGCCCAGGCUGGAGAGUGAGGCCGGGACCAGAUGGCCAGGCCAUGCUUGUCAAGGUUGAACAUAAAUCCAAACUCCAGCAGACAUCUCGUAAGAGAAACAGAGGCAAGCUAAGUGAAGAAAGAUG